GUACACGCUGUGACUAGCAUAUCAAUAAGCGGAGGAAAAGAAACUAACAAGGAUUCCCCUAGCAACGGCGAGUGAAGCGGGAAGAGCUCAAAUUUGAAAUCUUAAAGGGUUUCCCUUUACGAAUUGUAGUUUAAAGAAGUGUUUUCUGUUGAGGUUUUGGUAAAAGUUCUUUGGAAUAGGACAUCAUAGAGGGUGAGAAUCCCGUAUUUGACCUUUACUUUCAACUUUGUGAUACACUUUCAAAGAGUCGGAUUGUUUGGGAAUGCAGUCCAAAAUGGGUGGUAAAUUUCAUCUAAAGCUAAAUAUUGGCGAGAGACCGAUAGCGAACAAGUACCGUGAGGGAAAGAUGAAAAGAACUUUGAAAAGAGAGUUAAACAGUACGUGAAAUUGUCAAAAGGGAAGCGUUUGACACCAGUGUUGUUUUUCUGAAAAUCAAUUAAAGAACUGUUUAUGCUAAGCUGUUUAGACUUUAUCAGCUAUCUGUUUAGUUUUGAGCUUUUCUUUAAUGCACUUUUCAGUUAACAAGUCAACAUCAAUUUCUUUUGCUGUAAAAAAGCUUGAGGAAGGUGGCUUGAGAUUCGUCUUAAGUGUUUAUAGCCUCUUGCCUAUGCAGUCGGAGAGAUUGAGGUCUGCAGCGUAGAUCCUUCGGGGCUAAAUGCAUUUGUGCUAAGUUAUAGCAUUUUAUAGACAACUUGUUGACUAUGAUUUGUCUUGUAGCUUACUCGCUUAUGUUAUUUUACCUACGCUUAGGAUGUUGACACACGCGCGUGUUCUACUCUAUACAUGACUCUGUGCAUAUCAAUAAGCGGAGGAAAAGGCUGCGGACUGACCCCUACCUACGCUUAGGAUGUUGACUGAUAUGUAGUCGUA
rnacentral:rRNA from 1 species